CAAUAGCGUAUAUUAAAGUUGUUGCGGUUAAAAAGCUCGUAGUUGGAUUUCUGCUGAGGACGACCGGUCCGCCCUCUGGGUGAGCAUCUGGUUCGGCCUUGGCAUCUUCUUGGGGAACGUAGCUGCACUUGACUGUGUGGUGCGGUAUCCAGGACUUUUACUUUGAGGAAAUUAGAGUGUUUCAAGCAGGCGCACGCCUUGAAUACAUUAGCAUGGAAUAAUAAGAUAGGACCUCGGUUCUAUUUUGUUGGUUUCUAGAGCUGAGGUAAUGAUUAAUAGGGAUAGUUGGGGGCAUUCGUAUUUAACUGUCAAAGGUGAAAUUCUUGGAUUUGUUAAAGACGGACUACUGCGAAAGCAUUUGCCAAGGAUGUUUUCAUUGA
rnacentral:rRNA from 1 species